rnacentral:rRNA from 1 species
CUGGAAACGGUGAUUAAUACCGGAUACUCCUUCUUGUUAUAAGACAAGUCGGGAAAGUCUUUCGCUAAGGGAUCAGUCUAUGUUCCAUCAGCUUGUUGGUGAGGUAAUGGCUCAACAAGGCUAUGACGGAUAUCUGGUUUGAGAGGAUGAUCAGACACACUGGAACUGAGACACGGUCCAGACUCCUACGGGAGGCAGCAGUGAGGAAUAUUGCACAAUGGAGGAAACUCUGAUGCAGCAACGCCGCGUGGAGGAUGACGCAUUUCGGUGUGUAAACUCCUUUUAUUAGGGAAGAUAAUGACGGUACCUAAUGAAUAAGCACCGGCUAACUCCGUGCCAGCAGCCGCGGUAAUACGGAGGGUGCAAGCGUUACUCGGAAUCACUGGGCGUAAAGGG